AAGACACAGGCACUGGACCCAGGGCCAAGCACCUGGGGAAAGUGCUUGCCUGCAGCCCCCAGAGUGCCGAGGGUGGGGACUUGGCUCUGCUUUGCUACUCCUGCGUCUAAACUAAAACAGGGCCUGGCACACAGAAGACCCUAAUAGCUACUGUCGAACGAAUGAAUGAAUGAUACAGGGGGGCAGAUCCUGAACCUACCACUGCCCGCCUCAGCGGAGCAACUGCUUCGCUGGGAGCCAGUCCCCAAUCCAGCCCAGCUCUCUGCAGGGUGUCGCGUCUCACCCCACCCCCAGGUCAUUAAGAAAACUCCACUGGUGGCUACCACGCGACAGGAAUGGCAGGUGUGGGGGGGGGCCCUGUGAAACCGACCAUCUCUGCCCUCUGGCUGCUCCCAGUCUGGCGGAGAAAACAGACAAGAGAAGACACAGAAGCCAUCAGCAGGAGGGACAUGACAGCCUCCAGAGGGACAUGACAGCCUCCUCACAGCUUCGGCGAGGAUGAAAUGGAGAUAAUUCAUAUGAAAUGCUCGGCCCAGGGCCAGAUACUUCAGAAAGGACCUGAGCAUGUCGCUGGAAAUACAGAGAUGAAAAGCCGUCCCUGCCGAGGUGGGGUCCUCCAGCGUACACAGCUCCCUGGGGGAGUAUCAUGAUCAAGUCCUGCACAGACUGCCAGCCUCCUUCCACCACUCGUGGAUGUGGAGGGUUUUUCCUAGAUAAAGACCUAAAAAUGCAGAAGAAAUCCCACUGUUUUUGAAAAAAGAAAACACAGUUGAUAUU